rnacentral:rRNA from 1 species
ACACGACCGUACCGCAAACCGACACUGGAGCGCGAGAUGAGUAUUCUAAGGCGCUUGAGAGAACUCAGGAGAAGGAACUCGGCAAAUUGACACCGUAACUUCGGAAGAAGGUGUGCCCUAUUAGUGUGAAGUGAACAACGGAGCAUGAAUGGGUUGCAAAAAAUCGGUGGCUGCGACUGUUUAUUAAAAACACAGCACUCUGCAAACACGAAAGUGGACGUAUAGGGUGUGACGCCUGCCCGGUGCUGGAAGAUUAAAUGAUGGGGUGCAAGCUCUUGAUUGAAGUCCCAGUAAACGGCGGCCGUAACAAUAACGGUCCUAAGGUAGCGAAAUUCCUUGUCGGGUAAGUUCCGACCUGCACGAAUGGCGUAACGAUGGCCACACUGUCUCCUCCUGAGACUCAGCGAAGUUGAAAUGUUUGUGAUGAUGCAAUCUCCCCGCGGAAAGACGGAAAGACCCCAUGAACCUUUACUGUAGCUUUGUAUUGGACUUUGAACAGAUCUGUGUAGGAUAGGUGGGAGGCUUAGAAGCCAGGACGCUAGUUCUGGUGGAGCCAACGUUGAAAUACCACCCUGGUGUGUUUGAGGUUCUAACCUAGGUCCAUUAUCUGGAUCGGGGACAGUGCAUGGUAGGCAGUUUGACUGGGGCGGUCUCCUCCCAAAGCGUAACGGAGGAGUUCGAAGGUACGCUAGUUACGGUCGGACAUCGUGACGAUAGUGCAAUGGCAUAAGCGUGCUUAACUGCGAGACUGACAAGUCGAGCAGAUGCGAAAGCAGGACAUAGUGAUCCGGUGGUUCUGUAUGGAAGGGCCAUCGCUCAACGGAUAAAAGGUACUCUGGGGAUAACAGGCUGAUACCGCCCAAGAGUUCAUAACGACGGCGGUGUUUGGCACCUCGAUGUCGGCUCAUCUCAUCCUGGGGCUGUAGCCGGUCCCAAGGGUAUGGCUGUUCGCCAUUUAAAGAGGUACGUGAGCUGGGUUUAAAACGUCGUGAGACAGUUUGGUCCCUAUCUUCCGUGGGCGCUGCAGAUUUGAGGAAGCCUGCUCCUAGUACGAGAGGACCGGAGUGGACACACCUCUGGUGUAUCGGUUGUCACGCCAGUGGCAUUGCCGAGUAGCUAAGUGUGGAAGAGAUAACCGCUGAAAGCAUCUAAGCGGGAAACUCGUUUCAAGAUGAGAUCUGCCGGGGCCUUGAGCCCCCUGAAGAGUCGUUCAAGACCAGGACGUUGAUAGGUCAGGUGUGGAAGCGCAGUAAUGCGUUAAGCUAACUGAUACUAAUUGCUCGUGCGGCUUGACC